rnacentral:rRNA from 1 species
UUUAACUCAUGUAGCCCUGAAUACCGAUCUCAUCUGUUUUUAGAGGCUAAGCCAGGUUGGGCCUGGCUAGUAUUUGGGAGACCCUUAGGAAAUACCCGGGAUCACUUGGAA